AAAAAAGGUGGCCCGUUCAUUUCUCUUCUGCAAGCCGCUCGACGCUCGUUCAUUUCUCUUCUUCAACCUCGCUCCUCCCUCCUCUCCAUAAAGUCGUACCUUGAAUUAUUCAUUGAAGCCGUACUUUAAAUUCUCCAUUGAAGCGGCUUCUGAGCCUUCCAUUCUGCAAUGAAUCAGCUUCUCAGGUGAAACAGGUAUAUCAAUAUUAAUUUCGAAAUUUUGGUGAAAUAGUUCUGUCAAUAUCAAUGUCGAAAUUUUGCUUGAAAAACCCUAAACUACAAAUUCGUUCCAAUUUGGUGAAAUAGGUAUGUCGAAUUUCAAUCAGCGAACCAUAUAAUGUGCCGAAGCUUUCAUCCUCGCAAUUAGUUAAGCAUCAUUUGAAGAAUUUCCCAUCAUAAAGAAAGAGAUCGAGAAAUAAGAGGUUUAUGUAGGUAUAUUUACUGCAUGUUUGUCAUUAUAUAUACUGCAUAGUUUUUAAUAAUUUUUUCAUCAAUAUUGAGUUUUGUACCCGGGUUUUAAUAUAUUAUCAUGUCUAGAGCAACAUUUUAAAUCUGCAUUGCCUAGUAUUUCUCUUAAGAUUUGAAACUUGAAUGUUGGGUUGAAUUGCAAAAGAAGACUCAUGAGAGCAUCAACAACAGAUUGGCUCUUGUUAUGAAGAGUGGAAAGCACACUCUUGGUUACAAGGCUGUUCUCAAAACCCUCAGAUCUUCUAAAAGUUUGUUUUCUAUAAACCCUAAUAACCUAAUUUUUUUUGGGUGUUUGUUAAUUUGAUAUGGGUUUAUCGUA